rnacentral:snRNA from 1 species
AGUCGGGGGAAACCCGUC